GAUGAACGCUGGCGGCGUGCCUAAUACAUGCAAGUCGAGCGCUCGGACGUGGAGCUUGUUCCUAUGAUGUUAGCGGCGGACGGGUGAGUAACACGUGGAUAACCUACCUUUAAGCCUGGGAUAACUUCGGGAAACCGGAGCUAAUACCGGAUAAUAUCUUGAACCGCAUGGUUCAAGAGUGAAAGACGGUCUUGCAGUACCUUAUAGAUGGACCCGCGUUGCAUUAGCUGGUUGGUAAGGUAACGGCUUACCAAGGCAACGAUGCUAAGCCGACCUGAGAGGGUGAUCGGCCACACGGGAACGGAGACACGGUCCAGACUCCUACGGGAGGCAGCAGUAGGGAAUCUUCCGCAAGGGGCGAAAGCCUGACGGGGCAACGCCGCGGAGUGGAUGAAGUUCUUCGGAUCUUAAAACUCUUUGAUUAGGGAAGAACAUAGGGGGAAGUAACUGUGCACAACGUGACGGUACCUAAUCAGAAAGCCACGGCUAACUACGUG
rnacentral:rRNA from 1 species